UAAGUUAAAACAGCGAUUGAUGUAUUUGAGUGCAUUACCAUCUCCACCCAACUGGCACACGCCUCACAGAAAAUCAAGCGCACCCAUCUCUCUCAUUCAGGCCUUCAGGAGCUUAUAAAGUAACCGGGCACACCUGUGUUCAGUAUGUACCCUUCAAACAAAGAACUCAGCUUCAAGCUCCUGCAGAGACACCACUGGUUUUCAACCUGCUUGGUGACUCUGUCUACUGUGACCACUUAAUAUAAAAUCAUGGUGGUCCUGUAUGUGAUCUAAAGACAAAAGAGAAGAGAAAUAAAAAACAUGUCACUGA